rnacentral:rRNA from 1 species
UUUAUCGGAGAGUUUGAUCCUGGCUCAGGACGAACGCUGGCGGCGUGCCUAAUACAUGCAAGUCGAGCGGAUUGAUGGGAGCUUGCUCCCAUCAAUCAGCGGCGGACGGGUGAGUAACACGUGGGUAACCUGCCUGUAAGACUGGGAUAACUCCGGGAAACCGGGGCUAAUACCGGAUAACUCAU